rnacentral:rRNA from 1 species
GUAGGUGAACCUGCGGAAGGAUCAUUACCGAAUUGACAAACGGGNUGUUGCUGGUNUUCAAACGGGGACAUGUGCACGCUCUGUUUACACAUCCACUCACACCUGUGCACCCUCCGUAGUUCUAUGGUCUGGGGGACCCUGUCUUCCUGGCGUGGUUCUACGUCUUUACACACACUCUGUAAUAAAGUCUUAUGGAAUGUAUGCCGCGUCUAACGCAAUACAAUACAACUUUCAGCAACGGAUCUCUUGGCUCUCGCAUCGAUGAAGAACGCAGCGAAAUGCGAUAAGUAAUGUGAAUUGCAGAAUUCAGUGAAUCAUCGAAUCUUUGAACGCACCUUGCGCCCCUUGGCUAUUCCGAGGGGCAUGCCUGUUUGAGUAUCAUGAACACCUCAACUCUCAUGGUUCGCCAUGAUGAGCUUGGACUCUGGGGGUUUUGCUGGCCUGCGGCCGGCUCCCCUCAAAUGAAUCAGCCUCCCAGUGUUUGGUGGCAUCACGGGUGUGAUAAAUAUCUACGCUCGCGGUUGUCUGCCAGGUAACCUUUGGUGACAAAGGUUUGCUGGAGCUCACAGAUGUCUCUCCUCGGCGAGGACAGCUUUUUUGAACGUUCGAUCUCAAAUCAGGUAGGACUACCCGCUGAACUUAAGCAUAUCAAUAAGCGGAGGANAAGAAACUAACAAGGAUUCCCCUAGUNACUGCGAGUGAAGCGGGAAGAGCUCAAAUUUANAAUCUGGCNUGCCUCUGGUCGU